ensembl:lincRNA
UGCUGAGAAGAUGAAUCUGACCGUGAAAGCUCACCUGGUUCCCAGGCAGAGCACUGUGGACUUCCCACUGGGAAAGCCAGUUUGUGCUUUGAGCAGUUGCCUAAUGCUGAUGCUUGUUUCCAGUGUAUACAGACUACAUUAGAUUUUUGCAUAAUCAUGAUUCCGGAAUCUCCAGAGCUAUCUUCCAGAAUUUCCUCAAAUGUCGGGUCUGAAGAUGUCCUCUAUAUACAUUUCUCCAUACUUCGUGAGAGAGAACAGAAACUUUCAUCUCCAUGUCCACCAUAACCC